UGGGGAAUCUUGGACAAUGGGGGCAACCCUGAUCCAGCCAUGCCGCGUGAGUGAUGAAGGCCUUAGGGUCGUAAAGCUCUUUCGCCUGUGAAGAUAAUGACGGUAGCAGGUAAAGAAACCCCGGCUAACUCCGUGCCAGCAGCCGCGGUAAUACGGAGGGGGUUAGCGUUGUUCGGAAUUACUGGGCGUAAAGCGCACGUAGGCGGACCAGAAAGUUGGGGGUGAAAUCCCGGGGGCUCAACCCCGGAACUGCCUCCAAAACUAUUGGUCUAGAGUUCGAGAGAGGUGAGUGGAAUUCCAAGUGUAGAGGUGAAAUUCGUAGAUAUUAGGUGGAACACCAGUGGCGAAGGCGCCUAACUGGUCCGGUACUGACGCUGAGGAACGAAAGCGUGGGGAGCAAACAGGAUUAGAUACCCUGGUAGUCCACGCCGUAAACGAUGAGUGCUAGAUGUUGGGAUUUUCGGAUUUCAGUGUCGCAGCUAAC
rnacentral:rRNA from 1 species